UACGUAGGGGGCGAGCGUUGUCCGAAGUUACUGGGCGUAAAGCGCGCGUAGGCGGUCAUUUAAGUUCGGGGUGAAAGGUUCAACGCUCAACGUGAACAGUGCCUUGAAUACUGGGUGACUUGAGUUCGGGAGAGGGCAGUGGAAUUCCUGGUGUAGCGGUGAAAUGCGUAGAUAUCAGGAGGAACACCGAUGGCGAAGGCAGCUGCCUGGCCUAGAACUGACGCUGAGGUGCGAAAGCGUGGGGAGCGAACAGG
rnacentral:rRNA from 2 species